UACAGAGGGGGCAAGCGUUGUUCGGAAUUACUGGGCGUAAAGGGCGCGUAGGCGGCCUGUUAAGUCGGACGUGAAAUCCCUCGGCUCAACCGGGGAACUGCGUCCGAUACUGGCGGGCUUGAAUUCGGGAGAGGGAUGUGGAAUUCCCAGUGUAGAGGUGAAAUUCGUAGAUAUUGGGAGGAACACCGGUGGCGAAGGCGGCGACCUGGGUCGAGACUGACGCUGAGGCGCGAAAGCGUGGGGAGCAAACAGG
rnacentral:rRNA from 1 species